rnacentral:rRNA from 2 species
UGGCUCAGGAUGAACGCUGGCGGCGUGCCUAAUACAUGCAAGUCGAGCGAACGGACGAGAAGCUUGCUUCUCUGAUGUUAGCGGCGGACGGGUGAGUAACACGUGGAUAACCUACCUAUAAGACUGGGAUAACUUCGGGAAACCGGAGCUAAUACCGGAUAAUAUUUUGAACCGCAUGGUUCAAAAGUGAAAGACGGUCUUGCUGUCACUUAUAGAUGGAUCCGCGCUGCAUUAGCUAGUUGGUAAGGUAACGGCUUACCAAGGCAACGAUGCAUAGCCGACCUGAGAGGGUGAUCGGCCACACUGGAACUGAGACACGGUCCAGACUCCUACGGGAGGCAGCAGUAGGGAAUCUUCCGCAAUGGGCGAAAGCCUGACGGAGCAACGCCGCGUGAGUGAUGAAGGUCUUCGGAUCGUAAAACUCUGUUAUUAGGGAAGAACAUAUGUGUAAGUAACUGUGCACAUCUUGACGGUACCUAAUCAGAAAGCCACGGCUAACUACGUGCCAGCAGCCGCGGUAAUACGUAGGUGGCAAGCGUUAUCCGGAAUUAUUGGGCGUAAAGCGCGCGUAGGCGGUUUUUUAAGUCUGAUGUGAAAGCCCACGGCUCAACCGUGGAGGGUCAUUGGAAACUGGAAAACUUGAGUGCAGAAGAGGAAAGUGGAAUUCCAUGUGUAGCGGUGAAAUGCGCAGAGAUAUGGAGGAACACCAGUGGCGAAGGCGACUUUCUGGUCUGUAACUGACGCUGAUGUGCGAAAGCGUGGGGAUCAAACAGGAUUAGAUACCCUGGUAGUCCACGCCGUAAACGAUGAGUGCUAAGUGUUAGGGGGUUUCCGCCCCUUAGUGCUGCAGCUAACGCAUUAAGCACUCCGCCUGGGGAGUACGACCGCAAGGUUGAAACUCAAAGGAAUUGACGGGGACCCGCACAAGCGGUGGAGCAUGUGGUUUAAUUCGAAGCAACGCGAAGAACCUUACCAAAUCUUGACAUCCUU